rnacentral:rRNA from 1 species
CGCUAGCUACAGGCUUAACACAUGCAAGUCGAGGGGCAGCAUGGUCUUAGCUUGCUAAGGCCGAUGGCGACCGGCGCACGGGUGAGUAACACGUAUCCAACCUGCCGUCUACUCUUGGACAGCCUUCUGAAAGGAAGAUUAAUACAAGAUGGCAUCAUGAGUCCGCAUGUUCACAUGAUUAAAGGUAUUCCGGUAGACGAUGGGGAUGCGUUCCAUUAGAUAGUAGGCGGGGUAACGGCCCACCUAGUCUUCGAUGGAUAGGGGUUCUGAGAGGAAGGUCCCCCACAUUGGAACUGAGACACGGUCCAAACUCCUACGGGAGGCAGCAGUGAGGAAUAUUGGUCAAUGGGCGAGAGCCUGAACCAGCCAAGUAGCGUGAAGGAUGACUGCCCUAUGGGUUGUAAACUUCUUUUAUAAAGGAAUAAAGUCGGGUAUGGAUACCCGUUUGCAUGUACUUUAUGAAUAAGGAUCGGCUAACUCCGUGCCAGCAGCCGCGGUAAUACGGAGGAUCCGAGCGUUAUCCGGAUUUAUUGGGUUUAAAGGGAGCGUAGAUGGAUGUUUAAGUCAGUUGUGAAAGUUUGCGGCUCAACCGUAAAAUUGCAGUUGAUACUGGAUAUCUUGAGUGCAGUUGAGGCAGGCGGAAUUCGUGGUGUAGCGGUGAAAUGCUUAGAUAUCACGAAGAACUCCGAUUGCGAAGGCAGCCUGCUAAGCUGCAACUGACAUUGAGGCUCGAAAGUGUGGGUAUCAAACAGGAUUAGAUACCCUGGUAGUCCACACGGUAAACGAUGAAUACUCGCUGCUUGCGAUAUACUGCAAGCGGCCAAGCGAAAGCGUUAAGUAUUCCACCUGGGGAGUACGCCGGCAACGGUGAAACUCAAAGGAAUUGACGGGGGCCCGCACAAGCGGAGGAACAUGUGGUUUAAUUCGAUGAUACGCGAGGAACCUUACCCGGGCUUAAAUUGCAGAUGAAUUACGGUGAAAGCCGUAAGCCGCAAGGCAUCUGUGAAGGUGCUGCAUGGUUGUCGUCAGCUCGUGCCGUGAGGUGUCGGCUUAAGUGCCAUAACGAGCGCAACCCUUGUUGUCAGUUACUAACAGGUUCCGCUGAGGACUCUGACAAGACUGCCAUCGUAAGAUGUGAGGAAGGUGGGGAUGACGUCAAAUCAGCACGGCCCUUACGUCCGGGGCUACACACGUGUUACAAUGGGGGGUACAGAGGGCCGCUACCACGCGAGUGGAUGCCAAUCCCCAAAACCUCUCUCAGUUCGGACUGGAGUCUGCAACCCGACUCCACGAAGCUGGAUUCGCUAGUAAUCGCGCAUCAGCCACGGCGCGGUGAAUACGUUCCCGGGCCUUGUACACACCGCCCGUCAAGCCAUGGGAGCCGGGGGUACCUGAAGUGCGUAACCGCGAGGAGCGCCCUAGGGUAAAACUGGUGACUGGGGC